rnacentral:rRNA from 1 species
UACGUAGGGGGCAAGCGUUGUCCGGAAUUAUUGGGCGUAAAGAGCGUGUAGGCGGUCCGGUAAGUCAGCUGUGAAAGUCAAGGGCUCAACCCUUGAAAGCCGGUUGAUACUGUCGGGCUAGAGUCCGGAAGAGGCGAGUGGAAUUCCCGGUGUAGCGGUGAAAUGCGCAGAUAUCAGGAGGAACACCAAUGGCGAAGGCAGCUCGCUGGGACGGUACUGACGCUGAGGCGCGAAAGCGUGGGGAGCAAACAGG